GACGAACCGUGCGAACGUUGUUCGGAAUCACUGGGCUUAAAGGGCGCGUAGGCGGCUCGCAUGGUCGGGGGUGAAAUCCCAUCGCUUAACGGUGGAAGUGCCUUCGAUACCGGCGGGCUCGAGGAAGGUAGGGGUGCGCGGAACUUCUGGUGGAGCGGUGAAAUGCGUUGAUAUCAGAAGGAACGCCGGCGGCGAAAGCGGCGCACUGGACCUUUUCUGACGCUGAUGCGCGAAAGCCAGGGGAGCAAACGGG
rnacentral:rRNA from 1 species